CGCUGUUCCUCCCAUCCUGUGGAACCCGAAUCAGACGCCGAAACGUUCCCAUUUAAAUACAGUGAUUCCUAUCUCGGAUCAAGGGAUAAUACUAGGGUAGACCCUAGUAUUUUUUUACGCCAGUUUAUAGGCUUCUAAUCUGGGUUAAAUGUUAUGAUUCGAAUCAGAUUUGAAUUGCAGUGGGAAUGAUUGCGGGUUAAUCUAGAACUGUUCUAGAGUUUAUUCGGGAUUGAGUGGGAACGAUACACCUUGGAUUCGAUUUGUAAACCAGUGUAUAAGCAAGUGGAAACACCCCCCAAGAGCUAAGUUCAAGCUAUGGUUUGUUUCUGUUAUAACAGGUUGAAGUAAAAAUGAAAAGUUCAAGACUUCUCUCAUUUACUGUUGGACUAGGGAUGGGCCACUUCUAAUUUGCACUUUCCAAACCAAUGCAUGAACCAAAACACAUCCUUUGACAGCCAUCUUUCUCUGAUUUUUUGACUUCAGCUCUCAAAUUCAAUAAAUAGUGUCUGGAACAGCAGAAAACAAGCUCACACCAUCUUCUACAUGAAAUCCCUUCAGAUACUUAAAUCAUGCCACUUCUUAGUCGUCUCUUCUCCAGAAUUGCUCCAUUUUCUUCGCAGCAUCAUGUCAGGAGAAACCAUCAGUCAGACAGGAUGAAAAGAGUCAGUCCAGGGCUUGGGGCUACUCCACAGCAAGGUUGGAAACUGAACAGCCCUUAGAUGUUGUUGAACUCUAAUUCGCAGUAACCUGUUGGAGUCUAGAGACCAGGGUUUGAAUCUCUGCUGACCAUGAAACCCUCUGGGUGACC